CAUUCCGGGGAGCGCUGCGAGGCAACCGCCCCAGGCCCGGACCGCAUCAACGGCGCUCACCUCGC
rnacentral:ncRNA from 1 species